rnacentral:rRNA from 1 species
UGCCAGCCGCCGCGGUAAUACGGAGGGUGCAAGCGUUGUCCGGAUUUAUUGGGUUUAAGGGGUGCGCAGGCGGGGCAUUAAGUCAGUGGUGAGAGCCUUCGGCUCAACCGAAGAAUUGCCAUUGAAACUGAUGCUCUUGAGUACGGAUGAGGUAAGCGGAAUUUAUGGUGUAGCGGUGAAAUGCAUAGAUACCAUAAAGAACACCGAUAGCGAAGGCAGCUUACUAGACCGUAACUGACGCUAAUGCACGAAAGCGUGGGGAGCGAACAGGAUUAGAUA